GUGAUAGCGCCUAGGGUUUCCUACGCCCGCGCUAGAAUCGCUGCCGCGGAAUCAUCGCCGCCGUGAAGUCGCCCCCGCAAGCUGCCGCCUCUCGCCGGCGCGACGGCCUGCUCACACCCCGUCGGGCCGCCACUCGCCGCCGGGGAUUCGGAUCGGGGCCCUGCUCGGCACUCGACUCCUUGGUGGCGGCGGCCCCCGUGACCCGUGGCCCCUGUACCAACCUGUAGUGCCUCGGGCUGGCGAGGGCGCUGCAGCUGACAGCCUCGAUGCAGGUGAUGGGGAGCCCAUUGAAGCUUGACGACGAGCAGGCUAGCCUACUGGAUCGAGUCCCUCAUCUACUGGAUCAUAAAUGAAGCUUACUGAAGCAGGGUGCAGUGACCUGAUCCCUGCCGCUUGUCGAGGCACAGCCUGUAGUGUUUCUAAAGUUGUGUUUGUUCUUGCUCUUCACUUCAAAGCUGUUUGAUGUAUAUGGCGAUCCUGCAUGUGUGAACAUCUAGCAGAAGUACUGAUUGGAGACGAGAGCAAACUUUCUGUAUUGGUUAUGUGAAUGUGACUCAAGAGAUCUGAAAAAAAGUCAAUACAAUGUUCUGAGACAGGCUUUUCAGUCUGAA